UACGGAGGUGGCAAGCGUUGCUCGGAAUCACUGGGCGUAAAGGGCGCGUAGGCGGGGAGGUAAGUCGGGUGUGAAAUCCCUCGGCCCAACCGAGGAACUGCGCCCGAGACUGCUUCUCUUGAGUCCCGGAGAGGAAGGUGGAAUUCCCGGUGUAGCGGUGAAAUGUGUAGAGAUCGGGAGGAACACCGGUGGCGAAGGCGGCCUUCUGGACGGUGACUGACGCUGAGGCGCGAAAGCGUGGAGAGCAAACGGG
rnacentral:rRNA from 1 species